AUGGGCACGCUUCUCCGCCGCGUCCUCCUCUCCCUCGCGCUCCUCGCCGCCGCCGCGGCCCCCGGCGCGGCGGCGGCGGCGGCCAGGCUGUCGACGUCGUACUACAGCCGCAGCUGCCCCCGCGCGGAGCAGAUCGUCUCGGACGUGGUCGCCGCCAAGCAGCAGGCCAACCCGUCCACGGCGGCGGGCACGCUGCGCCUCUUCUUCCACGACUGCUUCGUCUCCGGCUGCGACGCCUCCGUCCUCGUCUCCCCGCUCUCCUCCGACCGGACCCCGGAGCGCGCCGCGGAGAUCAACCUCUCCCUCCCGGGGGACGCCUUCGACGCCGUGGCCCGCGCCAAGGCCGCGCUGGAGGCCGCCUGCCCGGGCACCGUCUCCUGCGCCGACAUCCUCGCGCUGGCCGCGCGCGACCUGGUGGGGAUCCUCGGCGGGCCGCGCUUCCCCGUCCCCCUCGGCCGCCGCGACGCGCGCCGCUCCGACGCGCGCGACGUGGAGGGCAACCUCCCGCGCACCAACAUGUCGGCGCGCGCCAUGACGGUCCUGUUCGCGCGCAAGGGCAUCACGCCGCAGGAGAUGGUGGCGCUGGCGGGCGCCCACACCGUGGGCUUCUCCCACUGCUCCGAGUUCGCGCACCGGGUGUACAACUACAAGGGCAAGGGCGGCGGCGCCAGCGGGCACGACCCGUCGCUGAACCCGGAGUUCGCGCGGGCGCUGCAGAGCUCCUGCGCCGGCUACGAGAGCAACCCGGACAUCUCCAUCUUCAACGACAUCGUGACGCCGCGGGAGUUCGACGAGCUCUACUUCAAGAACCUGCCCCGGGGCCUGGGGCUGCUCGCCUCCGACGCCGCGCUGUGGGAGUACCCGCCCACCAAGGUGUUCGUCCAGCAGUACGCCGACAACCGGACCGCCUUCUUCCAGGACUUCGCCAAGGCCAUGCAGAAGCUCGGCACCGUCGGCGUCAAGACGGGGCGGCAGGGCGUCGUCAGGCGGCAGUGCGACAUCCUCGACUAG
rnacentral:rRNA from 1 species